UACACUCACUACUGUGGGUCGCUCUGGAUAAGAGCGUCUGCUAAAUGACUAAAA
rfam:Salmo salar isolate Sally breed double haploid chromosome ssa09, whole genome shotgun sequence.